GACGAACCGUCCAAACGUUAUUCGGAAUCACUGGGCUUACAGAGUUCGUAGGCGGUCUGGAAAGUUGGGUGUGAAAUCCCUCGGCUCAACCGAGGAACUGCGCUUGAAACUACCAGACUCGAGGGAGAUAGAGGAAAGCGGAACUGAUGGUGGAGCGGUGAAAUGCGUUGAUAUCAUCAGGAACACCGGUGGCGAAGGCAAUCCCCUGGGCCUGCACUGACGCUCAUGCACGAAAGCGUGGGGAGCAAACAGG
rnacentral:rRNA from 1 species